GCUUAACACAUGCAAGUCGAGCGGUAACAGAGAGAAGCUUGCUUCUCUGCUGACGAGCGGCGGACGGGUGAGUAAUGCCUAGGAAUCUGCCUUGUAGUGGGGGAUAACUUGCCGAAAGGUAAGCUAAUACCGCAUACGCCCUAAGGGGGAAAGCAGGGGACUCUUCGGAGCCUUGCGCUAUUAGAUGAGCCUAGGUCGGAUUAGUUAGUUGGUGGGGUAAUGGCUCACCAAGACCGCGAUCCGUAACUGGUCUGAGAGGAUGAUCAGUCACACUGGAACUGAGACACGGUCCAGACUCCUACGGGAGGCAGCAGUGGGGGAAUAUUUGGACAAUGGGGGGAACCCUGAUCCAGCCAUGCCGCGUGUGUGAAGAAGGCCUUCCGGGUUGUAAAGCACUUUAAUUUGGGAGGGAGGGCUUACGGUUAAUAGCCGCUAAGUUUUGACGUUACCCCAAAGAUAAGCACCGGCUAACUUCGUGCCA
rnacentral:rRNA from 1 species